rnacentral:pre_miRNA from 14 species
UCCUCUUCAACAAACCGAGUCAAUGCCGUUUAAGUGAAUGCUUUGCCACAGUCUUCGAUCAUGUCACAUGAAGCCUGGGCUUAGAUUCACUUAGGCCGGCGUUCCUUGACUCAGCCUUUUUUUCUU